rnacentral:rRNA from 1 species
GACGAACGCUGGCGGCGUGCUUAACACAUGCAAGUCGAGCGGUAAGGCCCUUUCGGGGGUACACGAGCGGCGAACGGGUGAGUAACACGUGGGUGACCUGCCCUCAGCUCUGGGAUAAGCCUGGGAAACCGGGUCUAAUACCGGAUAUGACUCCAUGACGCAUGUUGUGGGGUGGAAAGCCUUGUGCGGCUGAGGAUGGGCCCGCGGCCUAUCAGCUUGUUGGUGGGGUGAUGGCCUACCAAGGCGACGACGGGUAGCCGGCCUGAGAGGGCGACCGGCCACACUGGGACUGAGACACGGCCCAGACUCCUACGGGAGGCAGCAGUGGGGAAUCUUGCGCAAUGGGCGAAAGCCUGACGCAGCGACGCCGCGUGAGGGAUGACGGCCUGGUGUAAC